AAUGAACGCUGGCGGCGUGCUUAACACAUGCAAGUCGAACGAGAAAGGGAUUGCUUGCAAUCCUGAGUAGAGUGGCGCACGGGUGAGUAACACGUAGAUAAUCUGCCUUCAAGCCCGGGAUAACUAUUCGAAAGGAUGGCUAAUACCGGAUGAAGUGGUUUAACAUAAGUUAAAACAUGAAAGAUUGCCUCUUCUUGAAAGCAAUUGUUUGGAGAUGAGUCUGCGGACCAUUAGUUUGUUGGUGGGGUAAAGGCCUACCAAGACUGCGAUGGUUAGCUGGUCUGAGAGGAUGAUCAGCCACACUGGAACUGAAACACGGUCCAGACUCCUACGGGAGGCAGCAGUGAGGAAUUUUGCGCAAUGGGGGCAACCCUGACGCAGCAACGCCGCGUGAGUGAAGAAGGCCCUUGGGUCGUAAAGCUCUGUCGACAGGGAAGAAAUUACCAUUGUUUAAUAGAUGGUGGUAUGACGGUAC
rnacentral:rRNA from 1 species